rnacentral:rRNA from 1 species
UACGUAGGGGGCAAGCGUUGUCCGGAAUCAUUGGGCGUAAAGCGCGUGUAGGCGGCUCGAUAAGUCCGCUCUGAAAGCCCGGGGCUCAACCCCGGGAGGCGGGCGGAAACUGUCGGGCUAGAGUCCGGAAGAGGCGAGUGGAAUUCCCGGUGUAGCGGUGAAAUGCGCAGAUAUCGGGAGGAACACCAAUGGCGAAGGCAGCUCGCUGGGACGUGACUGACGCUGAGACGCGAAAGCGUGGGGAGCAAACAGG